UUGCUGUUUGUUGUUUGCUGUUUGGUGGCAAAUCCACUCCUUUUUCCCUUCCUUUAAGGAUGAUUCUAGGUUUUCUCAACGCGGCUCCAGGAUCUCUCUUUUCGUGCUCAUUCUUGUCGCCAUUGCCGGAUUGAUCUCCAUUUUUUGGAUCUUGCAUCGAUUAGUAAGAGAGCGGUUGAAUUUAGGUGAAGAACUUCAGGGCUGAUGAGCUGAUUGAAUUUUAAAAGUCAGAUUUGAAGUUGAAGAAGUUCUUGCACAUUAUUGAGAAUUCAAGUGUGUUCCCUGUCAUUUAUGACCGCAACAGAAUUGUUUUGUCUUUACCGCCAAUUAUUAAUGGUGCACACUCAGCAAUCACUUUGAAGACAAAAAAUGUCUUCAGUGAGUGCACAACAACCGAUCUAACAAAGGCUAAAAUUGUUUUAAAUACAAUGGUAAGGAGUUGAGUACUGUUAGCUUUUGUCCUU